UACGGGGGGGGCAAGCGUUGUUCGGAAUUACUGGGCUUAAAGGGUGCGUAGGCUGUGCGGAAAGUUGGGUGUGAAAUCCCCCGGCUCAACCGGGGAAUUGCGCCCAAAACUACCGUGCUUGAGGAAGACAGAGGUGAGCGGAACUUCGGGUGGAGCGGUGAAAUGCGUUGAUAUCCGAAGGAACACCGGUGGCGAAAGCGGCUCACUGGGUCUUUUCUGACGCUGAUGCACGAAAGCUAGGGGAGCAAACGGG
rnacentral:rRNA from 1 species